GCCCCGGUAGCUCAGUGGAUAGAGCAACCGCCUCCUAAGCGGUAGGUCAACGGUUCGAUUCCGUUCCGGGGCACCA
rnacentral:tRNA from 1 species